rnacentral:lncRNA from 1 species
UAUUUUGUCCGUGUUUCUUCUGUAGGAUGAUAGAAAAUGUAAAGAAACGCCGACUUCGAAGGAGAAUACACCGUCGAAGAAUGGCUUCGCCGCCUCAUAACAUCGCCGGAUCCGUUAUACAGCAUCUAUGGGGACUUAAAUGCUUCUCAGACGACCAUAUUUCCCAUGGAUCUCAUCGUACUUGCACCGAUCUGGCUGUUUUUGCUCAUUCUAAACAGGUCUCGUUACAUAAAUGAUUUCACUCGAGUCUUUAUUUUCUGUUUUUUCUAACCUUCAAAGAGCAAAACUGGACACCAUGGAUUUAAGGAUCUCUGCGUUUAUUAUGUGGAUUUUUUGUCUAAGUUCAUCAUGUCGAUUUGAUUCUAAGAUUAACUAUUUCUUUUUCUCUUUUAAUAGGUUGUAGUUAUUGUUGAUGAUCUGAUCCUUAACUAUUUCUUUUUCUAUUUUAAUAGGUUGUAGUUGUUCUUGAUGAUCUGAUCCUCUUUCUAUAGACGUACGGUUUCGUAUUUUUGUUAUUCAUGUCUUACUGGCUGAUAAUGAUAAUUCAUUACAAUUCAAUUUUAUCCAACCCGCACCCGAUCCUUCGGGUCGGAUCAUGAACCGGUGACCCAGCAUCAAACCAAACCGGGGCUGGAUUGAUAUUGGAAUUUUGCAAAAUUAGGUCCAGUAACUUGCUCGGUUCAUUACUAAUGAUCAGUUCUCUCAGUCCCAGUGACCUGCUUCGUUCUUAAUUAGCAGAAACCUUGGUCCAUUAACCAGCUGCCUUCUUAUGUUAGGUUGAUGCGUCCACUAAUCUGCAAUUGGGUCUCUCUACUGACUAGUGUUGUCUUCAAUCUUCACAUUCCCUGUAAAUUAGUGGACCAAGAUCUGCAUAGGGUUCUGCCCAGCCCAAUGCUGUUUGCUUCAUUAAUGAAAGAACGAAGUUUAUCAGAAAUUUACAUCUAUAGAAUCUUUUGCUUUUGUUCAUUUCUAAAGAACCAAUCAUUAUUUUUCUUCUCCUUUAAACCUUAUUUUAUCGGAAUUGGUCAAAAUGUGUACUUGCUUUUUCUUCCUUGCAGACUUUUAUCAUCUCCUUUUACACUUUGGCUUUCUGUCAUUAAUUUUUCUUAAUUCUGGAGUUUUCAGUAUUUGCUCUAGUUGUCAAAUUCAAAAUCAGCUAAAAGGUACAUUUAUUGGUCCAAUUCUUUCACUCUUGCCUUUUUUGUUGCCAAUUUAUUCACCAUUUUUUGCAUUUAUGAAGGUUUCUUCAUAACUGAAAUGUAAAACUAUAGUCUGAGUAGGCUUCACCAAGUAAAUCUAUUUUGUAUCCUUCGUGAUCUUUGAGUUUUUGGAAAUUUUAGUAAUUGCUAAAAUGGAUUUCUCUUUUUCAAGUAGAAGUGGGGUCUAAUCUGUCUCCGUUUAAAGAGUCUGUUAUGAUACGGAUCUUGUUUCUUAAGGAGAUCUUAUACCUGAUCCAUAAGUUCCUAGUCAAAAUCGUCAGAACUUCUAAUUUGCAAACAAACUACUCUUGCCAUGUUGUGCAACAUUAUUGUUUUUCUUUUCUUGUUUGUCUUAAAGGAAUAAUUUUCUUAUUGCUCUCAAAUCAUUAUCAAAUUUCAUGAAUUUUUUUUUUUUUUCUGAAUGAAAUGAAAGCACAGGUUGUCAGGUGUCUUUCUCUGAUAAGCUCUGCGCUUAUGGGAGGUUUUAGUUGUUCAUGGAUUUUUAAUUGUCAGUAUUAUUAGAUUUUCCCUUGAUGUGACCUAAUGUCCUUUUUGUCAAUCAUGGUGCAUAUAAGUCAAUUUUGGAAUUCUCUUAUUGAAUAUUUCAAUGUGAUGAUGAUGUUCAAUUUACUCUUGAAAAUGCCAAGAGUAGCUCCUAGUACCUUGAUGGAUAAUGGGUCUUGCCACCUUAAUGCCUUUUGGAAUUGUAGCUGUGAGGUCUGGUGACCAGUAUUCUGUAUGCAUUUAGUUAGCUCAAAAUCAGCUGCUACUGAUACUGACCUCAAGCAAUUGCAAGUUGGAUACUUGGAAUGCUAUUUAAUGUGCUAAAUGCUUGUUUAAACUAAACAGGUUAUGAGUUGGAUAAUCAAAUCUUAAUCAUUUAUGUUUCAAUGCAAUGAUCAGGAUUAUUUUGGACCCCGCUUCUUUGUCUUCUUAGGAAAAAAGGUAGCUUAGUCAUUGGCCUUAUACUUGUGAAUGCUGCUUUCAGAUGCAUUAAACCCCAAGCAAAUGUUGUCGAGUUGGGAUCCUUACUCUUUCCCUCCUUAUCACGCUGCCACAAGUCUAUCAUUGAAUUAUUUGUAAAAGAUCAAUUUGGCCAUAAAAUUUUAAUUUGGCCUUAUUAGCUCAUGACAUGUGAUGUUGCCUAAUUACUUGAGGCCAAUCUAACCCUGCAUGUCUAACAACCUCAGCAAAACUUCCAAGUUCCUUGUGUGCAAAAUGUAUGCUCUGGGUUCCUUGAAAUAAUUUUAAACUUUUUUUGUUGAGUGUUGAUUAUGAGACAUGGGAUGAAUUGGCUGAAAAAUUAAGACUCAUGAGCUCAUCAGGCCAAACUAAAGUUUUAUGGCCAAAUUGACCUUUUGUAAGUAGCUCAGCAGUAUAUUUGCACCUUAUUCCUUCUCCUUUUUUGGGGUAAAGUGUUAUAUCAUUGGUUUUCAUUAUUACUUACUGUUAUAGAAGCUCUCCUGUCCAUAUCUGCAUACCUUAUUUUCUAUCUUUCUAUUAGUGCUGCUUAAUCUAAUCUGGUAGCAUGUUUUGCUGCACUUCUCUGGUUGCUGUUGUGGAUUUCAAUUUGAUUUUCUUACUUUUCAAGGCAUAUUAAGGAUGAAUGGAGCUUAAUUGAGAUCUGUGCUAAACAUUGUCGAGUUUGGAUUCUUCCCCACUCCCUCCUCAUCACGCCGCCACAAGUCUAUUGUUGAAUUAUUUGUAAAAGAUCAAUUUGGCCAUAAAAUUUUAAUUUAGCCUAAUUAGCUCAUGACAUGUGAUGUUGCCUUAUUACUUAAGGCCAAUCUAACUCUGCAUGUCUAACAACCUCAGCAAAAGUGUUACAGUAUUCCAUUAUUUUACUAAUUAAUUUCCUAUUUAUCUAUUAUAGGUGAUUCUUAGAAUAAUUAAGUUUUCCUCAAUUGUCUUUCUUAAUACUUUGCUAGUCAAUUUCCUAUUUAGUUAUUAUAGGUAAAUCUUAGGAUCUUCCUUAUAUAAGUUUUCCUUAAUUAUUGUUCUUGAUUAUGGCAAGUUGUUCUUGAUUAUGGCAAGUACGGUUUAAGGGUUAGAGGCUAGCCUACCAUCUCUUGUAACUAUUUAAACGUGAUUUUCUUAUGGAAUAAGACAAGCAGAAAUUUGUUUAAGGUUGUGAACUCCUAAAGUUUAGAGAUCGUAGGGUUCUCUCUAAUGAGCCCUUAACUAUAAUUCAACAUAGGUCGAAAAGGAAGAAAUUCCAGAAAACACUCUUCACAUUCUUUCGAUCCUCUGGUGAAUUAUAGACCCAUAACCCGAUCCCAAAUGCAGGAUCGUAACAAAAAAGCCCCAAGUUCCUUAUGUUGUUGCAAAAUGUAUGCUCCAGCAAAAGCCCCAAAUCGGCUUAAGAAUCAUGGACUCAUCAGGCCAAAUUAAAGUUUAUGUCCAAAUUGACCUUUUGUGAGUAGUUAGGCUUUAUAUUUGCACCUAAUUCCUUCUUCUUCUUCUAUUUUUGGGUAAACUGUAAUAUCAUUGGUUUUCAUUAUUACUUACUGCUAAUAGAAGCUUAAUUGAGAUCUGUGCUAAUUUUCUACUUCGGAAAUUUCUCAUGGUCUUCUUAUUUGUUGCUUUCUUUAUAAGCUUUGCACUGUGAUAUCUAAAUUUUCCAGAUCGCUAUAUGAAUGCUUUAUGUUAUAUGCUGCCCCCUGAAUUUGCAGUUUGGGCUAAUUUUGAUCCAAUGUUUUCUGUUCUAUGUUGUGGCACUGAUGAUUCUCUCUGCUUGUGUCUUAGCAUGUAGUUUAUUCUUUUUUGCUUGUCUAUUGGAUGUGAAUUUGGCUUGUUGUAUAUCUUGCUAGUUAUGCAUGAACCUUGGUCCUUUUCUUCUCCUGGUUGUAGUGGUCAUAGAUUUUCACCAGCAGUUUCUUUAUUAAAUAUAAGUUCAUUGACACGCUGUUACGUAGCAAGCUGCCACUGUUAAUUGGCUAUACUGGGAGGGACAUCUUACUCUUACUGGGUGGAAUGCUACUUGUUUAAAUAGCAAUUGUGGUGUUUGUUGCACAAUCCAUUCUGGGCAUCAUUCUGUGUUUCAACUUGUCUUCUUCUA